AGGGGAGGAGGACGCCACGUAAUAGAUAUUCAAAAUCCACGUAAGCGACCUUUUCAUCUCCUUAGUUACCUCCUAACCGUAUCAAUCCCCUCCUCCCUAUAAAAAAAGCCUAAAUCAGUGUACCAGCUCUUCCUUUUUAUCGGUUCUCUCUCUGUCUCUCUUUCAACCGCUCGCUCGCUCGCUGAUACGAAAGAGAUAAGCCCUCAUUUUCCAUCAGAAAUGGCGUCUGUCCAAGCCACUGCUAUCUUGAUAUCCUCAGCUGUAACCAAGAAUGGCAAUACCACUGCCUGCUUGCCACUUGGAUUUGUUAUUUCACGUGCUGCAUGCAAGAAGGAGUUUUGCGCUCACUCUAUGGCGUCGGGAGCCAGAGCUACUCUCACAUUUGAUCCACCAACAAGAACUAACCAAAAGAAGCACACAGUCGAUCCUUCUUCUCCUGACUUUCUUCCUCUUCCUUCUUUUGAACAGUGUUUUCCAAAGAGCACCAAAGAAUACAGGGAAGUUAAACAUGAAGAAUCUGGUCAUGUACUAAAAGUUCCGUUCCGGCGAGUCCAUUUGUCCGGCGAUGAACCAGGUUUUGAUAACUACGAUACCAGUGGUCCUCAAAACAUCAGUCCCCGCGUAGGACUUCCUAAGCUUCGUAAAGAAUGGGUUGACAGGCGGGAGAAGCUAGGUACACCAAGGUACACUCAGAUGUAUUAUGCGAAGCAGGGAAUUAUAACCGAGGAAAUGCUGUACUGUGCUGCUCGUGAAAAGCUUGAUCCGGAGUUUGUGAGGUCAGAGGUUGCACGUGGGAGGGCAAUUAUCCCUUCCAACAAGAAGCACUUGGAGCUGGAACCGAUGAUUGUUGGAAGAAAUUUUUUGGUUAAAGUUAAUGCAAAUAUUGGAAAUUCUGCUGUUGCGAGCUCUAUCGAGGAAGAAGUUUAUAAGGUUCAAUGGGCAACUAUGUGGGGUGCCGAUACUGUUAUGGAUCUUUCCACUGGUCGCCACAUUCAUGAGACUCGGGAGUGGAUCCUACGUAACUCUGCUGUGCCAGUAGGUACUGUGCCUAUCUAUCAAGCACUUGAGAAAGUAAAUGGAAUUGCUGAAAACCUUAGCUGGGAAGUCUUCAGAGAAACCCUGAUUGAACAAGCUGAGCAGGGUGUAGAUUAUUUCACAAUUCAUGCCGGGGUUCUGCUGCGGUACAUCCCCUUAACUGCAAAGCGCAUGACAGGAAUUGUUUCACGAGGAGGAUCAAUCCAUGCUAAGUGGUGCUUAACUUAUCACAAGGAGAACUUUGCCUAUGAGCACUGGGAUGAUAUUCUUGACAUAUGCAACCAAUAUGAUGUGGCCCUGUCAAUUGGCGAUGGACUGAGGCCUGGUUCCAUAUAUGAUGCCAAUGACACUGCCCAAUUCGCAGAGCUUUUAACUCAAGGGGAACUGACUCGUCGAGCAUGGGAAAAGGAUGUACAGGUUAUGAAUGAAGGGCCUGGACAUAUUCCAAUGCACAAGAUUCCUGAGAACAUGCAAAAACAGCUAGAGUGGUGCAAUGAAGCUCCUUUCUAUACUCUUGGACCCCUAACAACAGACAUUGCUCCUGGAUAUGACCACAUAACCUCUGCCAUUGGCGCUGCCAAUAUUGGGGCUCUUGGCACUGCACUUCUCUGUUAUGUCACACCAAAGGAGCACCUUGGACUGCCAAAUAGAGAUGAUGUGAAGACUGGGGUUAUAGCAUACAAGAUAUCUGCUCAUGCUGCUGAUUUGGCAAAAGGUCACCCCCAUGCUCAAGCCUGGGAUGAUGCUUUAAGCAAGGCUAGAUUUGAGUUCCGAUGGAUGGAUCAGUUUGCUCUAUCAUUGGACCCCAUGACGGCCAUGUCCUUCCAUGAUGAAACCCUCCCAUCAGAAGGUGCAAAAGUGGCACAUUUUUGCUCCAUGUGCGGACCUAAGUUCUGCUCUAUGAAGAUAACAGAAGAUGUUCGAAAGUAUGCAGAGGAGCAUGGUUAUGGUAAUGCAGAGGAAGCUGUGCAACAUGGGAUGGAUGCCAUGAGCGCUGAGUUCCUGGCUGCUAGGAAAACUAUAAGCGGAGAACAACAUGGUGAAGUUGGUGGAGAAAUUUACCUGCCAGCAAGCUACAUCAGUUCCUCUGAGAGGUGAAGGAAGCAUGAGUAUUGGGAAUUUCUCUAAACAUCCUUGCAGUUCUGAUGCAUCCUAGCUUGCCAAGAACAGCAAUGAUUGGUCUUAGCUUUUAAGAAGUAGGGGUGCCUGCGUCCUGCUUCAAAACUGGCCAUCUGGCUAGAGGAGGCAGCUGGCCAGGCUGAGAAAGUCCCUUUGAACCUGAACAGGAUAAUGCCUGCGUAGGGAGUGUGCAUUUUUUCUGUCGUUUUUUUUUCUUGCACAGGGAGGCACCUUCCUUCCAUGGCUCGGGCUAGCUGAUCCAUGUGUGCGGAUUCAUCAUCAAGCCCAGGCUUGUCACUUUGAUGGCUGAGGUAUUGCUAAGGGUAGCUAUUUUCAAUCUUCAACCAAUAAUAUAAAAAAAUAAAAAUUCUCCCACGCUUCUACAUGAAUCAGUGACAAGAUCCUUGAAAGUUACUCAAAUAUCAUUGCUUCGAAAAUAUGAGUAGAUUUGAAACUAAUGGAAAAUCAUCUCCCUGUGUAACGAUUGGUAGAAAAACGUCUUGUUCGUUUUUGCCCUCAUAGAAAGGGAGAAAAGCAGCCCUCCUUAAUGGUUUGAAUUGUAUUUACCCUUUAUUUCUUGUGAAGUAUUAUUAGAUAGCAGCUAUUUCCUCUCC